GCAGCAUGUGCAAGUUCACUCCCGACGGAGGANACUGCGGACGGCUCAUUAUCACAGAAAGAAUCUGCGUGCCUACCUCCUUACGUGGAUAACCACAGCAAACCGUGGCUAAUACAUGCUUAAAAGCAGAGUCUAGUUUUGGAUUUUGCUGCAUACAUUAGUCAAAAAAAUAUCGCUUUUUUUUUUUUGGAGGAUAAACAAUGUAUUCCCGAAUCGCAUGACUUUGGUCGGCGAUGAUUCACAUGACUUUCUGCCCUAUCAACUGGGGAUGGUAGUGUAGUGGACUACCAUGGUAUCGACGGGUACGGGGAAUUAGGGUUCGAUUCCGGAAAGGGAGCCUGAAAAACGGCUACCACAUCUCGGGACUGCAGCAGGCGCGAAAAUUACCCACUGGUCAAAAACCGAGGUAGCGAAAAAAUAUAUCGGAGUCAAUGAAGUUAUCUUGGCUACC
rnacentral:rRNA from 1 species